GGGCGAUCCGUGUGCACACGCAG
rnacentral:piRNA from 1 species